UGGCAGACGGGUGAGUAACAUGUAGGUAUCUUCCCAUUGGUGAGGAAUAACACGAGGAAACUUGUGCUAAUACCUCAUAAGUCUUUACGGAGAAAGCUUUAUGCGCCGAUGGAUGAGCCUGCACUUGAUUAGUUUGUUGGUAGGGUAAUGGCCUACCAAGACAAUGAUCAAUAGCUGAUUUGAGAGGAUGAUCAGCCACAUUGGGACUGAGACACGGCCCAAACUCCUACGGGAGGCAGCAGUAGGGAAUCUUGCACAAUGGGGGAAACCCUGAUGCAGCGAUGCCGCGUGAGUGAAGAAGGCCUUUGGGUUGUAAAGCUCUUUCGUCGGGGAAGAAAAUGACUGUACCCGAAUAAGAAGGUCCGGCUAACUUCGUGCCAGCAGCCGCGGUAAUACGAAGGGACCUAGCGUAGUUCGGAAUUACUGGGCUUAAAGAGUUCGUAGGUGGUUAAAAAAGUUGGUGGUGAAAUCCCAGAGCUUAACUCUGGAACUGCCAUCAAAACUUUUUAGCUAGAGUAUGAUAGAGGAAAGCAGAAUUUCUAGUGUAGAGGUGAAAUUCGUAGAUAUUAGAAAGAAUACCAAUUGCGAAGGCAGCUUUCUGGAUCAUUACUGACACUGAGGAACGAAAGCAUGGGUAGCGAAGAGGAUUA
rnacentral:rRNA from 1 species